GUGUGCACCCUGCACUCUGUCCCUCACUCGCCGCUGAUGACCUGCCGCGCCGUGCACAUGCCCUGUCGCCGCCCCUCAGAAAUGCUUCGAUUACCCACAGUGCUUCGCCAGAUAAGACCUGUGUCCAGGGCACUGGCUCCUCAUCUCACUCGGGCUUAUGCCAAAGAUGUGAAAUGUGGUGCAGAUGCCCAAGCCUUAAUGCUUCAAGGUGUAGACCUUUUAGCCUAUGCUGUAGCUGUUACAAUGGGGCCAAAGGGAAGAACAGUGAUUAUUGAACAGAAUUGGGGAAGUCCCAAAGUAACAAAAGAUGGUGUGACUGUUGCAAAGUCAAUUGACUUAAAAGAUAAAUAAAAAAAAUAUUGGAGCUAAACUUGUUCAAGAUGUUGCCAAUAACACAAAUGAAGAGGCUGGGGAUGGUACCACCAUUGCUACUGUACUGGCACGGUCUAUUGCCAAAGAAGGCUUUGAGAAGAUUAGCAAAGGUGCUAAUCCAGUGGAAAUCAGGAGAGGUGUGAUGUUAGCUGUUGAUGCCGUAAUUGCUGAACUAAAGAAGCAGUCUAAACCUGUGACAACCCCUGAAGAAAUCGCUCAGGUUGCUACGAUUUCUGCAAAUGGAGACAAAGAAAUUGGCAACAUCAUUUCUGAUGCAAUGAAAAAGGUUGGAAGAAAGGGUGUCAUCACAGUAAAGGAUGGAAAAACACUGAAUGAUGAAUUAGAAAUUAUUGAAGGCAUGAAAUUUGAUCAAGGUUAUAUUUCUCCAUACUUUAUUAACACAUCAAAGAUCAGAAAUGUGAAUUCCAGGAUGCCUAUGUUCUAUUGAGUGAAAAGAAAAUUUCUAGUGUCCAGUCAAUUAUACCUGCUCUUGAAAUUGCCAAUGCUCACUGUAAGCCCUUGGUCAUAAUUGCUGAAGAUGUUGAUGGAGAAGCGCUAAGUACACUUGUUUUAAAUGGGUUAAAAGUUGGUCUUCAAGUUGUAGCAGUCAAAGCUCCAGGUUUUGGGGAUAAUAGAAAGAGCCAGCUUAAGGACAUGGCUAUUGCUACUGGUGGUGCGGUGUUUGGAGAAGAGGGGUUGACCCUAAACCUUGAAGAUGUUCAGCCUCAUGACUUAGGAAAAGUUGGAGAGAAGCAGCCUUUCUGUGGAGAGUAAGAAUAAUUGUGUACAAAGUAGAGAACUAUCCAAUUAUGUGACAACCUUUGUGUAAUAAAAAUUUGUUUAAAGUUAAAAAAAAAAA